CAGUAGCCGCGGUAAUACGUAGGGGGCUAGCGUUAUCCGGAUUUACUGGGCGUAAAGGGUGCGUAGGUGGUCCUUCAAGUCGGUGGUUAAAGGCUACGGCUCAACCGUAGUAAGCCGCCGAAACUGGAGGACUUGAGUGCAGGAGAGGAAAGUGGAAUUCCCAGUGUAGCGGUGAAAUGCGUAGAUAUUGGGAGGAACACCAGUAGCGAAGGCGGCUUUCUGGACUGCAACUGACACUGAGGCACGAAAGCGUGGGUAGCAAACAGGAUUAGAUACCCCAGUAGUCCCUGUCUCUUAUACA
rnacentral:rRNA from 1 species